rnacentral:rRNA from 1 species
AUUGAACGCUAGCGGCAUGCCUUACACAUGCAAGUCGAACGGAGUGGUGGACGGGUGCGUAAUGUAUCUGCGCGUGCCCGGUCGCGGGGGAUGACUACGCGAAAGCGUAGCUAAUACCUCAUACUUUUGGAUCGGUCGGGAUCGGAUGAGCUAGUUGGUGGGGUAACGGCUCACCAAGGCGACGAUCCGUAGCUGGCUUGAGAGGACGACCCGCCACACUGGGACUGAGACACGGCCCAGACUCCUACGGGAGGCAGAAGUGGGGAAUUUUGGACAAUGGGGGAAACCCUGAUGCAGCCAUCCCGCGUGUGCGAAGAAGGCCUUCGGGUUGUAAAGCACUUUUAGCGGGAAGGCGGUACCCGCAGAAUAAGCACCGGCUAACUACGUGCCAGCAGCCGCGGUAAUAC